CGGACGGUAGCGCCUCCCUAGGGCGCUCCCUGAGGCGCCGGUACGGCGGCCUCACUGAGGUGCCCCGCAAGGCAUCGUCCCUGCUGCCGGUCCCACCCGUCAGAGAGCGGCUGAGUGGUGCCAGUGCCCGCCACAAUGGGAGAUGAUCCGCUCUUUCUGCAGCUGCAGAUGUGAGUUAGCCAAUUAAUGAUUUACAGUGUUUUGAAGCCAGAGGGGAAAAGAAGUCUUCAACCAAAAGUUUGUAACUUUAAAAACAGAUGAGAAACAGUCCUAAUUUUGAGCAGAGGCAGAACAGCUAACACCAAGACAUAGGCUGGGAGGAGAGAAGAAACAGAAGCUCAGAUUGUCUCACCUCAGGCAAUUUAGGAAGCAACACUAAAAAUUUUUCCUCCAGUCCUGGCUGACACAGUAAGAUCUUUCACUACCACAGCUGUCCAGAGUCAGCAUUUGCCCACAACCUCAGAAAUUCUUCAGUGAAGUCUAGGACAAGCCACAAAACUAAGUGAUUUCAGUCACCACGGUUUUUAGGAAAUCAUUUCCAUGCUGCAUCGAUGCCUCCAGAAUGAGCUUCCUAUGCCAGGUCAGGCAUGACUACAUGACUUCAUGCUGCGACAGGAAAAUAACAGUUCGACUGAACACAAGAGAAGAAAGCUGCAAUACUUUGUACAUCUGAACGCUUUGAACCACUGUCAAAAAGACCUGAGCAAGUACAGCUGAGAACCAACUGCAGGACUGGUUAUUCCCUGUUGUGCCACGUUGGUCCCAUUUCUGAAAGGAAACACCCGUUUAAACAUGUGAACCAAACAUUAAGUGUAUGCAGCUUUAUUUGGGGGUCCACAGAUAUAUAUACACUUUUUCUACUGGUUUGCUCCUGCAAAAGCCGUUGUACUACUAGGAAUCCAUAUACUACAUGCACUACAUUAUAAAAUUAGAAACAAGAUCCUUGAUUUUUAGAAUCAAUGUUUUCUUUAGCUAAGUCAAGAUAAAUGCAAAGUAAAUACAAUAAUUAUGCCAAGAUUUUACAAUUGUUACUUGAUCCAUUUUAAAUAAAGCUAAUAGCUAAGGCAACUAUGAUUUUAGAACAUUUAGUCUGCUACCUGAUCAUUGGACAACAAAGCUGUUGCGUGCUUCAGUUUAAAAGCCACCUUUUUGUAAAACAAAACAAAAAGAACACAAAAAAAAAUAAUCCCAUGUGCCUUAUCACUUCAUCAUCUGGGCACCUUCACAUUUUU